UACGAAGGGGGCUAGCGUUGCUCGGAAUUACUGGGCGUAAAGGGCGCGUAGGCGGAUAGUUUAGUCAGAGGUGAAAGCCCAGGGCUCAACCUUGGAAUUGCCUUUGAUACUGGCUAUCUUGAGUUCGGGAGAGGUGAGUGGAAUGCCGAGUGUAGAGGUGAAAUUCGUAGAUAUUCGGCGGAACACCAGUGGCGAAGGCGGCUCACUGGACCGGCAUUGACGCUGAGGUGCGAAAGCGUGGGGAGCAAACAGG
rnacentral:rRNA from 1 species